AGUGAACGCUGGCGGUAGGCCUAACACAUGCAAGCCGAACGGCAGCACAGUAAGAGCUUGCUCUUACGGGUGGCGAGUGGCGGACGGGUGAGGAAUACAUCGGAAUCUACUUUUUCGUGGGGGAUAACGUAGGGAAACUUACGCUAAUACCGCAUACGACCUACGGGUGAAAGCAGGGGAUCUUCGGACCUUGCGCGAUUGAAUGAGCCGAUGUCGGAUUAGCUAGUUGGCGGGGUAAAGGCCCACCAAGGCGACGAUCCGUAGCUGGUCUGAGAGGAUGAUCAGCCACACUGGAACUGAGACACGGUCCAGACUCCUACGGGAGGCAGCAGUGGGGAAUAUUGGGCAAUGGGCGCAAGCCUGAUCCAGCCAUACCGCGUGGGUGAAGAAGGCCUUCGGGUUGUAAAGCCCUUUUGUUGGGAAAGAAAAGCAGCAGGUUAAUACCCCGCUGUUCUGACGGUACCCAAAGAAUAAGCACCGGCUAACUUCGUG
rnacentral:rRNA from 1 species